GACACCGCACGACUUUGACGAUAUCCCGAGGUUUCAUCUCCAAAGUGGGGAAGUUCCAUUUGCCGUGAAUGGGGAUGGAUUCGGUGAGGAUGACAUCCAGACGCUUCACCUGCUCCCAGUUCAGCACGCUCAGAUAAUACUGAAUGUCAAUGCUGCCCUCUAGAGAAAGACAUCAUGCUUGGAACUCGAACUUUACCUUUAUGCAGGUGAACUGUGACCCGGCCCAUUAGCUGUUGGCAUGUGAUGUUGUUGAAUGGUUCUGUAGGAAUCUGACAUUCCUCAGGGUCAGCUGAAGCGGUCAGGAGUUUCCUGUCUCUCUCCACACGCUCACCCAGAGUCAUAAACUUUAUCACACUGUUUUUCUUCUAAUUGCCCGUAUGCCUUCUCUUUAGCUCACACUAAAACAUACGUUACCGAAAAAGAAACGUGAGAGUGCGCUGCAUUAAAGUGUCUGUCUCUCGAACUCCUUCUAUUCAGGUAAGAAGUAAAACAGAAACUUGUGUUUGAUAGCUGCAAUGAGAUCGGAUGGAGUUUUAGCACUUCCACCACCCCAGCUAUACCAAUGAAAGAGGUACAUGCUUUGGCUCACUCUCUCUUUCAAGCGUUGACCACUAACCCCCUGUCAGCCAAGCUGGGUUUUAGAAAAAAACCUUACAGUAUCACUAUGCACUACUACAAACCAUGAACCGUAAAGUCUAUACUUGCUGUGUCAUUGUCACUGGCUGGAUGAAUGCAGCAUGUAACCUGACCUGUGUCUAGCA